CAUACAGCAUAAAUGAUCUGAGACUAUCAGUUUAGUCGAAACUAUUGUUGUGCACGGAAUUUUUUUUACACAUUACUGUACUCACUGUUAAUUAAAUUUUAAACAACCUUAAGGUACAUCUUAGGGGAACUUCUAUAGAUACAUCGGAUUGCGUAUAAGGAACUCGAUAAAGUUUGUAAAGCUACAUUGUGAAGCGAGACCUGUCCGACACCGGGUGUCUACAUGAAUGGGAGGCCGAGCAUCCUGAAGAAUGAUUGUUGAUCGGGCCAUGUCACACCGACGUGCUCGAUCGUGAGCAAGCCAACAAGGGAGAGAAAUAUUGCACAUAAAGCUAUGAGAGCUUCGGAUAAAGGAGGCAUGCGGCGCAAAAUGGAUACCCUCAAUUUAAACACAGGUAACGUAAACUCAAAGACUCAAUAUGCAUUCAUUAGACUGUGUUAUUAAUUAUAUGUAGGUUUCAUUACUAGCUAUUUAUAAAACAAAUUUAAUCCCUGGUAAAAUGAUAACCGAUAGAAUGAGUAUGACCAGCGUUACUUAUCAGGUAGAUACAAUAAUCCACGUCGUACAUAUAUCGUACUCACAAACGCCUCCGAGUCAUGACAACAGUCAACAUCUAACGAAACCCUUCUUGGCCACGUUCGAGAGGAAGAUGCUCAGAAGGAUCUUUGGCUACGUAUGUGUGAAAAGACGAUACAGUAACAGGAUACAACGACGUGCAGCCUUUCAUAGUCGUUCAGCCUAUCAAGCGAUAGCCCGGCCAAGUUCUACGCAUAAAACCCAUCCAGUCCGUCAGUCUGUCAAGAGAUUUAUAGUGACUUUGGUCCUUUUGGACUCUUUCGUCACGUGCGCUAAAACCUUUUUUCCAACGGGAUUUUUUUCACUUUCUUGUUCUUUGUAGAAUGAGAAAAAAAUAAGGUAUACAUGGAUUGGUAGGGAUGGGAUGUUGAGGUGGUAGCACCGCACAACACAGUAAAAAGUGCUACUUGACCUAUUACUAGGGAAAGCGGGGCAAAGUGGGCAUGUUUAGCAGUUUACUGAAUAUUCCUUUGAAUAUGCCACAAAACACAACUUUUGUUUCCUUAUUGUAUGCCUCCACCCUUUAUCUGUGGAUUAAAAUUGCCACAUAGAAUAAAAACUACUUAAAAUCA